rnacentral:lncRNA from 1 species
UAUAGAUAGCAAAAUCAUCACAUGCCAACAAUUAAUUAUUGAGAAGAUAACAAUUUUUGUGGACCUGAAACUGAACGGAUCACCACUGGAGGAUGUAAGUCUAGUUAAAAUCUUGUAACAACUCACCAAUGUGAUUCUAACAGUAUGAGAAAUUGAGAAUGAGGAUAAAAACGAUCUUACUUGAAGAGUCAUGCAAGAAUAUAAGGAUAUAAUGGUGGUAAUGGUGGAUUUGAUGAUUAAUGUGAAAAAUCGCAAAGCUUCGCGAUGAUCACACCUCUUCUUCAUCAAGUCUCUCUUCAAAUGGAAAACUAGUUUAACUUCAACUUUGAGUUUAGGGGUACCCAAUCCCUAACCUAGCUCUUUCUAGGGUUUAUCUCUAGAUCCUUCAAUAAUAAUCAAGUUGAUAUAUCCUCCAAACUUUCCUCUUUUAGCUAGGAUGAAUAGAAGAUGGAUUGAAUUCACCUAAUGUUGAGUUAUUUCUUCUCAACAAACACUCACCUCACUCAAUUAUUUGAAUUAAUGGUGGUGGGUGGAAUUGAAUAUAUCCCACUCCAUGAAAUUCAUCUCAAAUUCAAACCUAUCUAAACAACUAAGAAAUUCAACAUCUAAAUAACCUGACUACACUAUUGGACAUCCAUGCUGAUGUCAUUAAUUUCUGACGCGUUUCUGACACGUCAGGUUUUGUGCUGCUGCUGAUCAGAUUUCUUAGAUAAAUCUGAUGCUAAUGAUCCUACAUCAGUCCCCCGUUCUUGAAAAGAACUCGUCCUCGAGUUCACUUCAGGUAAAGAAACAUAUUCAUCACCAUAGUAGAGUCCAACUUGAAACAGAAGCUCAAAUAGAGUGUCUGAACAAAUAGGCUUCACUACAAACCUAAAAAGCUCAUCUGGUUGUUGAAAAUCUGCCUUAAUAUCAGUUGAAAUCAAACAAUUGCGAGCAUCAACUAAAGAUGAUGGAGACUUUGGGGCAGCAUAGUUAGGUGCCAAAGUGAUUUUGCGACAAACUUUCACAAAAGUGUAGGUAUUAGGGUUGCCACGGUGGUUGGCAUCCACAUCAUACUGCCAAGGAUGACCAAGAAUCACAUGGCUGACAUUCAUAGAAAGGACAUCACAAAGAAUAGUAUCCUUAUACUGACCAAUUGAGAAGGAAAGGAGGCAUUGUUCUGUAACUUGUUUGGUGUACUCAUCCUCUACCCAACCAGCGAAAUAAGGUUCAGGAUGUGGUUGAGUCUUGAUUUGUAAUGUAUCAACCAAUUUCUUGGAAACAACAUUCGCACCACUCCCGCUAUCAAUAAUCAAAGAACACAAUUUGCCUUGAACUGUGCAAUUAGUCCGGAAUAAUUUUUUUCGAUGUAGAUUAUCAAUAUGAUGAGUUAAAAAUAAACUCUGAAUCACGCAAGAAAGAGUAUCUCCAUGAACAUCACCAUAAGUGAGGCCAUCCGCCUCAUCAACAGGUUCAAAAUCAUCAUCAUCGGCCUCAUUAACAACCUCAUCAAUAUGAGCAAUGCGACUUCGACAUUCAGCAGACCUAUGGCCAGUGUUGCCACACUUAAAACACUUGUCAAGUUUGGGUUUUGCAUAAGGAUUGGUGGUUUUGGGUUUGGAAUUGGGUUGAGUAUUUUUAGUGUUAUUGGAACGAGUAUAAUGGUUAUUCGGCUGAUUAAAAACUGGGGUAGGAUGGGCAUGGUCUUCUAAAAUUAAAGGUUGGGGAGUAGAUGGGGAGGAAUAUGAUGUGUUGGGUUUAUUCGAGGAGGUGUAUGGUUGGGAUUUGUGGUGGGAAGAGCCACGAUCAUAAGGCUUGGGCUGUUCAAUGAAGUGUUCAACUUUAAGUGCGUUAUUGAUGACAGCAUGUAAUGUGAAGUGUUGAUGUGAUGCAAGAUCUUUUUGAAUGUUCCACUUCAAACCAUUAACAAAGCGAGCAAUUUGAAGAUCUUCAGAUUCAUUCAAAUCAUUGCGAGAAAGUAAACCAUAAAAUUCAUCAACAUAGUCAUGAACGAAACGAUUACCUUGAUUGAAAUUUUGAAGGGAUGUGAAUAAGACUUGAGAAAAAUCAGGAGGAAGAUACCGCUGCCUUAGUAAUUGUUUCAUCCUGUACCACGAACGAACUGAAUUUUGACCUUGGCGGAGUCGGUUUUGUUGAACUUGAUCCCACCAUGGAGAAGCGCCACCGGUAAGCUUAAAAGCAACGAUCUUGACUUGCUUAUCGGGAGGAAUAUCCAUGUAUUCAAAAAAACGUUUGACCGAUGAAAGCCAAUCGAGAAAGUCUUUGAUAUGCAUUAAACUAUUAAACGAAGCCAAAUCUGCUUUAACUCGAUAUUCAAAGUUACUUCCAUAGCCUCCGUUAUUAUGCCCUUGUCUCCUUAAAGGGGGUUGAUUGUGACGACCAUUGUGGGGCUGGUUAGGAAAAAAAUAUUUCCUCAACUUCAUCAUCAUUGAGACCAUCAUAAGCUUGGUGAUUAUCGCGAAGAGGCUGAAUAUUAGCUCGACGAGCUGGUGGUGGGUAAUUGGGUUGUUGACGAUGGUGUUCUCGUCGAUUGGGUGGGUUUGCUUGGUGGGGUUGGAUGGGCUGAUUAUUAUAUGUGUUAUAGGUGGUGGGGUAUGGGAUGUCAUCAUCAAAAUCAUCAAAACCAUAGGUAUCUUCAAAGGUAGGGUUGUCUAAUAAGGUUUGUUGAUGUUGGGGCUUAUUGAAUCGUUGGGUGUUGGUGGUGGUUUGGUGUGUUAGUAGUGGUUGUGGCAGGGUAGCAUGGUGUUGUUGUUGGUUGUGGCGACUUGUGGAAGGAAAAGAAGUACCGGUUUGGUUUCUGGUGGGAAGUUGAGAACGAAGAGUAGGGGAAAAAGCGGCUGCACUAUGGGUGGUGCUUUGGGUAUUGAUAACAUUGUUUUCUCUAUUAAAUACUCUACUAUCAUCUACCGUUUUCUUACCUUUCUCCCGUUCAUUAAGAAUUUUCACGAAAUCUUUGAGUAUGGUUGCUCGAAAAUCAGCAAGAACUUCAUCCAAAACAGUUUUUGUGAUGAAGUUUCCAGGGUUACUGUCCUGGGGACGUGAAUCCUCCGUGUUAGGCGUCAUCAAAUCAGGAAAACGAACCUGCUCUGAUUACCACUUAACGUAGCGGAAACGAGUAAAAUUAACUAAAAUUGUAGAAAAAGAUAACUUUGAGAAGAAUCUCUGAAAAUCUGUAUUGUAAUUCAUAAAAAAAUCCUACUUACAAAGUAGAGAUUAUAUAAGUCUUUUCUAACUUGGACUUAAAACUAGAAACCAUAACUAGAAUUCUAAAUAGACUAGGACUGCUCAUAUAACCUAUCUAAACAACUAAGAAAUUCAACAUCUAAAU